rnacentral:rRNA from 1 species
AUUGAACGCUGGCGGCAGGCCUAACACAUGCAAGUCGAGCGGAUGAAGGGAGCUUGCUCCUGGAUUCAGCGGCGGACGGGUGAGUAAUGCCUAGGAAUCUGCCUGGUAGUGGGGGAUAACGUCCGGAAACGGGCGCUAAUACCGCAUACGUCCUGAGGGAGAAAGUGGGGGAUCUUCGGACCUCACGCUAUCAGAUGAGCCUAGGUCGGAUUAGCUAGUUGGUGGGGUAAAGGCCUACCAAGGCGACGAUCCGUAACUGGUCUGAGAGGAUGAUCAGUCACACUGGAAGUGAGACACGGUCCAGACUCCUACGGGAGGCAGCAGUGGGGAAUAUUGGAAAAUGGGCGAAAGCCUGAUCCAGCCAUGCCGCGUGUGUGAAGAAGGUCUUCGGAUUGUAAAGCACUUUAAGUUGGGAGGAAGGGCAGUAAGUUAAUACCUUGCUGUUUUGACGUUACCAACAGAAUAAGCACCGGCUAACUUCGU